GACGUAGGGCGCGAGCGUUGUCCGGAUUUAUUGGGCGUAAAGAGCUCGUAGGCGGCUUGUCGCGUCGACUGUGAAAACCCGCGGCUCAACUGCGGGCUUGCAGCCGAUACGGGCAGGCUAGAGUUCGGUAGGGAGACUGGAAUUCCUGGUGUAGCGGUGAAAUGCGCAGAUAUCGUAAGGAAGACCAGUGGCGAAGGCGGGUCUCUGGACAGUUCCUG
rnacentral:rRNA from 1 species